CGUGGAGGAUGAAGNUUUUNNGAUUGUNAAACNCNUNUNGGCNGGNAANANUGGCCGGGGNNCUAAUCAGCUCGGUUUUGACNGUACCGGCAAAGGAAGCCCCGGCUAACUCCGUGCCAGCAGCCGCGGUAAUACGGAGGGGGCAAGCGUUACUCGGAAUUAUUGGGCGUAAAGGGCGCGUAGGCGGCCGCGUGCGUCAGAGGUGAAAUCCCCGGGCUUAACCCGGGAACUGCCUCNGAUACGGCGNGGCUUGAGUCCGGGAGAGGGGAGCNGAAUUCCCAGUGUAGCGGUGAAAUGCGUAGAUAUUGGGAGGAAUACCGGUGGCGAAGGCGGCUCCCUGGACCGGUACUGACGCUGAGGCGCGAAAGCGUGGGUAGCAAACAGGAUUAGAUACCCUGGUAGUCCACGCCNUAAACGAUGGGUGCUUGGUGUCGGGGGUAUCGACCCCUCCGGUGCCGAAGCUAACGCAUUAAGCACCCCGCCUGGGGAGUACGGUCGCAAGGCUG
rnacentral:rRNA from 1 species